ensembl:lncRNA
AGAAAAACUAAGUAAGCUGGAAGUUUUGCUUCUCAGUGCGGAAGGAUGAAAGAUAUGGUUUGAAAAUGCCACGUGACUACCGUCCUCCUCCCUCUCGGAUCAGUCCGCAUGUUCACGGUGCAUUUUUUAUGGAAUAUGUUGAGCAAACCCAUUGACUGUAGAAAACUGUUUUCUACAGUCAAUGAGCAAACCUGGAGAAGCGUCAGCUCAAGAUAUUAUUGUUGUCAUUGCUGUGGAUCUUUACCUGAUACACUGACUUAGCUCGGGACCAGCACUCCUGCUGUUGGACAGAAAGACAUCAACUUGAGAUAUGACUGCACUAUGCUGUUGCUGUGACUCCAGUUAAUUCUACAAGACAUGCUGUGACAACAGGAGAGAUGAGUCCUCCGUCACAGAUGGUGUGGUCAGUGAAGAUGGUCGCCUGCAGGUUUAAGCUCAUUGCAUCUCUAACCCACAUCCACUGCCACUGUACUGAAGGGAAGUUAAAGACUUUCUUCUGCACCUACAUUUGGAUCACCUCGAUCCAUGACAGUCAUUCAGGCAGUAAUGCCUGGACUGGAAACAAGCAUCCUUAAAAUAAUACAACAUUCCAGCUCAUGUGUUGAAAUGAAAAACAAAUGUGUUGUUUAAAUUAGAGACUGCACUUGUGACAGAACAAUAAAUAUUUUAUUUUGAUUAUAUAAGUAAUGUGUCAGGGUUUCUGGGUCGUUGACCCAGUGUUUUCAGUUAGUCCUCAUUCUUUAUCUUCUGCCUGUUUCACUUCCUGUUUUAUUGUGUUAACCUUGGUCCAUGUGCAUUAUGUUCAGUCCUCUUCCCAUUUAUCAUUAGUUCAUUAUGUUCAGCUGUGUACUCACCAGUUUCUAAUCGCUCCUCACUCAGCCUGUGUAUUUAUGUUCCUCAGUUCAACCAGUCCAGUGUCGUGUCAUUGAUGUUCUCGUGAUGUUAUGUCGUAUGUUCAGAUCAGUCAGCCAGCCAUUCAGUUCUUCAGUCAGUCGUCCACUCAGUCAGCCAUUUCAGUUCGGGUUCUGUUCAUCCAGCCUGCUUUCAAUAAACCCCAUUAUCCUGCACCGUGAGUCCAGCGUUUGGGUCAUCCUUUCCUCGCCUCCACACACGCUACCCCUGACAGAAUGACACGACCGCUUUUGACCCAGCGGACU